rnacentral:rRNA from 1 species
CAUAUCAAUAAGCGGAGGAAAAGAAACUAACAAGGAUUCCCCUAGUAACGGCGAGUGAAGCGGGAUGAGCUCAAAUUUAAAAUCUGGUAGUCUCUGGCUGCCCGAGUUGUAAUCUAGAGAAGUGUUUUCUGUGCUGGACUGUGUUCAAGUUUCCUGGAUAUGGAACAUCAUAGAGGGUGAGAAUCCCGUCCUUGACACAGACUUCCCAGUGCUAUGUGAUGCACUCUCAACGAGUCGAGUUGUUUGGGAUUGCAGCUCAAAAUGGGAGGUAAAUUCCUUCUAAAGCUAAAUAUUGGCGAGAGACCGAUAGCGAACAAGUACCGUGAGGGAAAGAUGAAAAGCACUUUGGAAAGAGAGUUAAACAGUACGUGAAAUUGUUAAAAGGGAAACAAUUGAAGUCAGUCGCAUCUACUUGGACUCAGCCUUACUUUGGUUUGGUGCAUUUCCUUGUGGAUGGGCCAGUGUUCAUGUUGAUUGCUGGAAAAGGGGCUAGGGAAUGUGGCUCUUUUGGGAGUGUUAUAGCCUUGGCUCAUAUACAGUGAUUAAUAUGGAGUGGUACAGCAUGCUUCGGUGGUGCUUGUGCUGGCAUAAUGGCUUUAAAUGACCCGUCUUGAAACACGGACCAAGGAGUCUAACAUGUCUGCAAGUAUUUGGGUGAUAAACCCGAGUGCGUAAUGAAAGUGAUAGCUGGGAACCCUGUAAAGGGGGCACCAGUGCCCCGAGUGGAUCUUCUGUGAUGCAUCGGAGGUAGAGCAUAUAUGUUGGGACCCGAAAGAUGGUGAACUAUGCCUGAAUAGGGUGAAGCCAGAGGAAACUCUGGUGGAGGCUCGUAGCGAUUCUGACGUGCAAAUCGAUCGUCAAAUUUGGGUAUAGGGGCGAAAGACUAAUCGAUC